rnacentral:lncRNA from 1 species
UGUAACACCCCCUUUUCAGAGACUGAAAAGAAGAGCGUCACAGUUCUCUACCCAAAUUUAAAUGCUUAAAUACAAGCAAAUAAAAUUAUGCUGGUUUAUUUUUUUUGUAAAGGAAAAGUAAUAAGUGAGAAAUGUUCUCGAAUAUAAGUACUAUUAUUUUUAUUUAAGAAAGUUUUCAAAAUUCUCUUUAUAUAAAUUUAAAGUAAGCCCAUAAAUAUAUGAAUCACUUAUAUCAAACAAUCAUCUAGUAAUUUUGCUCAAAGGAUUUUCAAAUAUAAAACAUUUCCAUUUCACAUAAGCAUCGUACAAUUUUUCAAUAUGAAAUAAUAAAAUAUAAAUUCCUACAGAAGACUCUAUCCCAGAAAUGAUCACAAGCUGGUCAAACACUAAAAAUACAUAUCACCUAGAGAGUACUCCAAUGACGUCAUCAAUACAUAUCAAAGAGAUCUUUCUCUUCGGACUCCA